rnacentral:rRNA from 1 species
GCCUACGGGGCGCAGCAGUAGGGAAUCUUCCACAAUGGGCGAAAGCCUGAUGGAGCAACGCCGCGUGGGUGAAGAAGGUCUUCGGAUCGUAAAACCCUGUUGUUAGAGAAGAAAGUGCGUGAGAGUAACUGUUCACGUUUCGACGGUAUCUAACCAGAAAGCCACGGCUAACUACGUGCCAGCAGCCGCGGUAAUACGUAGGUGGCAGGCGUUAUCCGGAUUUAUUGGGCGUAAAGGGAACGCAGGCGGUCUUUUAAGUCUGAUGAGAAAGGCUUCGGCUUAACCGGAGUAGGGCAUUGGAAACG